UACGUAGGGGGCAAGCGUUGUCCGGAAUCAUUGGGCGUAAAGCGCGUGUAGGCGGUUCGGUAAGUCCGCUGUGAAAGUCGGGGGCUCAACCCUCGGAUGCCGGUGGAUACUGUCGAGCUUGAGUACGGAAGAGGCGAGUGGAAUUCCUGGUGUAGCGGUGAAAUGCGCAGAUAUCAGGAAGAACACCCGUGGCGAAAGCGGCUCUCUGGAACGGUACUGACGCUGAGACGCGAAAGCGUGGGGAGCGAACAGG
rnacentral:rRNA from 1 species